CGCCAGCGCCUGCUGCAGCGGCCCCGCGCGCCCGCUCAGCUCGUCGCGGAAGGCCGCGUGCUGGCUCAGCAGGCGCAGGGAGCUGGUCAGGUCCCUGCCCACGUCCUCGGAGGAGAGGAGCCGCUCCUGCUCCCGCAUCCAGGCCUCCUCCUCCCCCGUGUCCCAGAAGAACUUCCAGAAGCGCCGCGACUCCUCCAGCUUGGCCCGCCGCUGCCCCGCCAGCUCCACCAGCUCCCGGUACCGCAGCUCCAGCGUGGCCACGCGCUCCCGCACCACCUCCGGCUCGCAGGGCUUGUAGCCUGCGGGCAGCUCCGUCAGCUCCCUGCGCCUCUGCGGCUCCGGCUGCGGCCACCAGGCCGGGCUCGGGGGUCUCGGGGGGGGUGCCCUGGCCUCCCCCCGCCACCGCGGGCCGCACUCACCCUCUCCGGGCAGGGCGAAGCGCUGGGCCGCGGCGCUCACCGCCCGCACCCGCUCCGCCUGCGCCGCGAUGUCGGCCUCCACCAGCGCGUGGAUCUGCAGCAGGUCGUCCACCCCGUGCAGGUGCGCCAGGUCCUGCAGCAUCUUCUGCAGCUCGAGGUGCAGCAGCAGCCGCUCGCGGCGGGCGGCCACCAGCUGCCGCAGGAAGUCCCAGAGCCGCGCCACGUUGUCGCGGCGGGCCAGGACGCGGCGGACGUCGUGGUAGCGCUCGGCCUCCAGCUCGGCCGCCACCGCGCUCACCGCCUGCACCCGCUCGCUGUAGGCCACGAUGUCGGUCUCGAUGGCCUCGUGCUUGCGCACCGCCGCCUCCACGGCCGACAUGUCGCUCCCGAAGUUGUCCUGGGGGGCCACGUCUCCCGCAUGGCCGCCUUGCGGUCGAAGCGAGCCGCCAGCUGCUCCAGCUUCUCCUGCCGGAUCAGCUCGGUGCGCAGCGCCAGCUCCCGCUCGUGCUCCGCUUUCUCCAGCCGCUCCCAGGCCUGCGGGGACGGGCACCGGGACGGGGGUGGGGGUCGGCUCCCGGCACGGCCGCGGCGCCGCCCCCCCUCCUCGCCAAACCUUGUUGAUGUCGGAGAUGAGCUUCCCCUCGCGCGGCACGAACACCUUCUGGUUGUUGGCGCGCAUGCGGCUCUGGAUGGUGAAGAGCAGCACCUCCAGGUGUUGAAGGCCUGCAGCUGGUUCUGCACGCCGGGCAGCGCGUUGGCCAGCUGCCGGUCGUUGAGGGUGAGGAUGGUCCGCUCGAUCCAGCCCAGCAGCUCGCCCGCCAGCGUCUCGUACUUCUCCACCAGCUGCUCCGCCUCCAGCGCCGCGUCCAGCACCUGCGGGCGUCCAUCCCUCUGUCCGUCCGUCUGUCCGUCCGUCCGCCCGCCCAUCUGCUGCCUCUCCGCUCAUCCCGGCGGCCAUCUGGCCGAGCCGCCCCGCCUCGCCUUCCCCGUCCAGCUGUCCGUCUGCCCGCCUGUCGCCCGCCCCCCCUUCCUCGAGCUGCUCCUCUCGAGCGUCCUC
rnacentral:lncRNA from 1 species